rnacentral:lncRNA from 1 species
GACACACACAGGUACAAUCUUUGCAGGGCCAUGUGUUCUCAUAUUUAAAUUUUUUAAAAUUUUUUAAUUUAAAUUUUUAAAAAUAAAUUUUGAAAUAAUUUUAGAUUUAUGGAAAAGUUCUAAAAGUGUUACAGAAAAUGUCAUAUAUCUUUCACCCAGUUUCCCCUAAUGUUAAUGUCUCUAACAUAUAUCCAUCAAAACUCACCAGUUAACACUAGGACUUUCAUUCUGAACUCCAGAAUUUACGUGAAUUUCACCUGUUUUUCCACUAUUGUCCUUUUUCCGCUGUAGGACCCCAUCGAGAUUUCCACAUUGCAUUUAGUUGUCACGUCCCCUUCAUCAAGUGUGUGAUGAGGCAAUCCCUCAGAUGUUCCUUGUUUUUCAUGGCCUUGGUGGAUUUGAGGAGUAUUAGUCAGAUAUUUUGUAGACUGCUCCUCGAUUUUGGCUUUUCCUCAUGGUUAGUCUAGGGUGACCACUUGUUAGGAGGAAGACCACAGAGGUGCAGUGCCGUUUUAUCAUGUCGUAUCAGGGGUACUUGCUUUCAACACGACAGCACUGGUGCUGCACCUAGAGAGGCCUUUCCGGGCUACCCUAACCCAAGGAGGUGUUUCCAGCUUUUCUCACUUUAGCCUUUAGUCUUUUCUGCAGAGCACUUAUUGUAAUUGGGGGUUGUUGUUGGCGAUUUCUCUGUUUCUCUAACUAGACCUUAAGCUCUACGAGGGCAGAACUGUCUUUAUCUGCUCAUCUCUAGCACCAUGCCUGGCACAUGGCUGGCACUCAAAAUGUUUAUUUAAUAAAAAGUACAUUAUUGUUUUCCUAUGUAGAUGCACAAACAUUCUUAUUAUAAAGAUAGAUAAUACUUAUUUCUCCAUUUAUUAUCUAGUGGGAUUCUGAGAACUGUGUUCUCAUGUCCCCUUUCCUUUGCUUCAAUCUGUUUCUCCACAGCCCUGAAAUAACUGAAUGGCAAGAACAAAAUCCAAGCAAACAAAAACAAACAAACAAAAUCCUAGAAUUUGUUUGACUCUUAAUUCCCUCAAUUCCCUCAGCUGGCUUUUCCUUUUAUCUGCUUUGCAGCUGAAGACCCUAGAAUGGCCGAAGGGAGAAAUGGUCUUUCUGCAAUUCCAGGGCCAGAACCUCGCGUGGGCAAGUGCCUUCCGCUUCAGUGUGGCCACGGCCUGUGGUGAUGGAGUCGUAGUUCACCGACAAACACAUGGAGUCACAGAUGAAGAAAUCCAGGUGGUGCUUUUGAGGGGAUUUAUCCAUAAUGGUUUUAGCCUCAGCGAUCUUCUUCCCCUACACCUACACCUGCAGCAUGAGGGCCUCUAGCACUGUCUUCACCUACCAUCCACUGGCGGUGACUUGCACGGCUGUGUCUCCAGUCCAGGCUGCUUGCACAAAGCAUUGCAGGGUGAGUCUGGGAGUCAGGAAAGCUGGUCCCAAAGCAGCACAGGAACCAGUCACCUGUGUCCUUGUAGGAGACAAAGAGUGCAUCCCUAUCUUUGCUUAAACAUCUAUAAUAAAUGGCCAUGAUUAUUGAUGGGUGGGGGUUGGGGUGGUAGAUGAGUAAAUUGAGAUGAAUCAGUGGGAACCCAUCUCAAACACUGAAAAGACAACAGCUAAUUCUGUGGUUGAUUAUAUCCAUGGAUGCAGAAUCGAUGAAUAUGGAGGGAUGAGUGCAUAUUUUGUUUUACAUUACCCUUUUGAAUUUUUAACAAAUAAACAGGCCCAUGGAAACAUCACUCAGUUAAAAAAAUACAACAUAACCACUGCCCCGUAGCUUCCCUCUUGCUCUCUCCAGUCAUUACCCUUUCUCAAAAGGUAACCUAUUCUAUCUUUAUAGAAGACUUAUGUCGAUGGAAUCACACAGCCUGUUUAUAAGAUUUAUACCUGUUGUGAAUAGCUGUGGUUCACAACAAAGUAUAACAAGUUCAAGAACAAGUUUAUGCUGAAUAGACCACAGUUUAUUAAUCCUGUUUGCUGUUGAUGAACAUUUGUGCUGUUUUUAGUUUCUGGGUACUUUAAAUCAUGUGCUAUGAAUGUUCUUGUAGGUGUUUUUGGUGCUCAUAAAUAUUUGUUUAUGUUAGCUAUAUAAUCCAAAGUGGGAAUUAGGUCAAAGGGUAUGGUGAAUCUUCAGAUUUAGUAGGUAAUGAUAAAAGCUGUUUUCUAAAGUGGUUUCACUCACUUGCAUCCAUACCAGCAGUGUAGGAGAGUUUCCAUUAUUCUACAUCCUCACCAACACUUGCUACAGUCUGUUUUGAAAGAAAAAGUAGGUGUGUGAUGACGUUCCAUUUGGUCUUAAAGUGGAUUUUCCUAAUACUAAUGAUGUUGAAUAGUAUUUCAUAAGUUGAUGUUAUUUGGAUGUCCUCUUUUAAAAAUGGCUUGCUUAUUAUUUAAAACUGGCUGCUGGUAUUCCUUAUUGAUUUACAGUGGCUCUUAAUACACUCCGAAUACAGGUCCUUUGUUGAAUAUGUAUGUGGCAACUGUCUUCAAGUUUUCACUCUCCUAAAGUUGUCUUUUGAUGAACAAAAGCUGUCUUUUGAUAAAGAGAAUAAUGCAUUCCAAUUUAUGAUCUUUUCCUUUAUGUUUACUUCUUUUUGUGUUCUACGUAUGAAAGGUUGUCACGUUAUCAUCCAGGAACUUUAUUGCUUUAUCUUCCACAUCCAGAGCUCAUCUGUCUGGAAGUGAUGUGUGUGUGUGUGUGUGUGUGUGUGUGUGUAUGGUAUUUGAUGGAGGAUUAAGAUUCAUUUUUUAGAAAUAAGGAUGUCUUAUUUCUUCAAAAACCUUUUAAUGUAAAGAUCAUCCUUUCCUCACCAAAUUGCCAAUGUUGUUCUUCUUCAAGACAGCUGUGGCUAUUGCAGGCUCUUUGAAUUUUCAUGUCAAUUUUAGAAUCUCCUGUCAUAUUCACUAAAAAAUUUCAGCAAAGGUUUUUGAUUGUGAUUGUAUAGAAUCUAUAGAUUAAUAUAAAGGAAAACUGACAUCUUAGCAAUGUUGACUCCUCCAUUACUUAAUUAUAACAUUUCUUUAUACAUCUAAGUCUUCUUUAUUUUCUCUCAGUAAUGUUUCUUUGCUUUCUGUAUUGAGUUUUGCACAUCUUUUAUUAGAUUUAUAUUUUGGUAUUAGUUUCUUAAAAUAAAAAUAUUAUUUAAAAAUCAUGUUAAAAAGUUCUAUUUUUAAAUUCUUUUUGGCUGGUAUAGUAGUCUCUCAUUACCUCUGUUUUUGCUUCCUGCUGUUUCAGUUACCCGUGGUCAACUGCAGUCCAGAAAUAUUUAAUGGAAAUUCCAGAAAUAAACCAUUUACAAGUUUUAAAUUGUGCUAUUCUGAGCAGUGAGAUGAAAUCUCCUGCCAAUCUGCUCCGUCCUGCCCACAUGUGAAUCAUCCCUUUGUCCAGCUACCCGACUUAGCCACCUUGGCUAUCAGAUAGACUGUCAUGACAUGGCAGUGCUUGUGUUCCAUGAAUCCUUUUACUUAAUAGUAGCCCCAAAGCACAAGAGUAGUGAGGUUGGCAAUUUAGCUAUGUCAAAGAGAAGCCACAGAAUGCUUCUUUUGAAUGAAAAGGUAAAAGUUUAUCAAUGGCAUGUAGGUAUAGGAAAAACAUAGUGUAUAUAGAGUUCAAUACUAUCUGUGUUUCAGGCAUUCGUUGCAGGUCUUGGAAUAUAAGGC